rnacentral:rRNA from 1 species
UGCGUCCUACGGGACGCAGCAGUGGGGAAUAUUGCACAAUGGAGGAAACUCUGAUGCAGCGAUGCCGCGUGGGGGAAGAAGGUUUUCGGAUUGUAAACCUCUGUCUUAAGGGACGAUAAUGACGGUACCUUAGGAGGAAGCUCCGGCUAACUACGUGCCAGCAGCCGCGGUAAUACGUAGGGAGCGAGCGUUGUCCGGGAUUACUGGGUGUAAAGGGAGUGUAGGCGGGAUGGUAAGUUAGGUGUGAAAUGCGGAGGCUCAACCUCCGAGCUGCACUUAAAACUGCUGUUCUUGAGUGAAGUAGG